rnacentral:lncRNA from 1 species
GAAUAACAAUCUUUGGCAGUGAGCUCAAUGUCUUUCCCUGUUCUUUCAUCUGGUUUGGCAACCUCGGACAAUGUUCACAUCCUGUGAAGUAGAGGAAAGUCCCAAUCAAUUAGUACAUAUUCCUGUAUUCCAUGAUUAAAUAUGCUAGAGUAUAUAUAUAUAUAUAUAUAUAUAUAUAUAUAUAUAUAUAUAUAUAUAUAUAUAUAUAUAUAUAUAUAUAUAUAUAUAUAUCGGAUUCCUAUACUGUGAAGUGGAGUACAAGCAGUACAAGUGACAUACCCGCUGGUCAAGAGCAGGCCAAGGCAGAAACUCCCAGCUAGGUGCAGAGCAAAAUUCAUCGCUUGGCCAUGGCCCCCCGUGCAGAUGGUAAGUGUGGUGUGGGAUAUGCAGCCGCCGCUCGCCUCAAUGGCGAGGUGUCCCACAUUACGGAGCCACGCCAUUGUUCAUGGUCCACUUUCCUCCGCUCUUCGUCCGAUUAUAUUCCA